GACCCGAAACCCGGUGAUCUAGCCAUGGGCAGGUUGAAGGUUGGGUAACACUAACUGGAGGACCGAACCGACUAAUGUUGAAAAAUUAGCGGAUGACCUGUGGCUGGGGGUGAAAGGCCAAUCAAACCGGGAGAUAGCUGGUUCUCCCCGAAAGCUAUUUAGGUAGCGCCUCGUGAAUUCAUCUCCGGGGGUAGAGCACUGUUUCGGCUAGGGGGCCAUCCCGGCUUACCAACCCGAUGCAAACUGCGAAUACCGGAGAAUGUUAUCACGGGAGACACACGGCGGGUGCUAACGUCCGUCGUGAAGAGGGAAACAACCCAGACCGCCAGCUAAGGUCCCAAAGUCAUGGUUAAGUGGGAAACGAUGUGGGAAGGCCCAGACAGCCAGGAUGUUGGCUUAGAAGCAGCCAUCAUUUAAAGAAAGCGUAAUAGCUCACUGGUCGAGUCGGCCUGCGCGGAAGAUGUAACGGGGCUAAACCAU
rnacentral:rRNA from 4 species